UGAGAUUCCAAAGGCAGAUACUGAGGGAAGGGAAGGAAGGCUGUCAGAUACAGGCUGUUCUGCAGGGUAGGAGAGAAAAGGAUCAGAUACCUGCAGUGCAUGUAAAGGAACAAAGGCAGAACAGUAUGAAGAGAAUUGGAAGAUUGGAAGCAGAUCUUGGUGCCUGCCCAUUAAAUGCCUGAGACAUGAGAACCAACUUUUUAAACUCUACUUUUAUGAUCAUCAAGUCUGUGACAGAUCUGGCCUUGUGUCAUAAAAUGCUGUUCCUUCUGACCUCCAAAUGAAUGAGAAGGUCCAGUCACAGUGGACAACAGCCCAGAGGAGCCUACUGGAUGAAAAGGACAGAUUU